GGGGAAUUUUCCGCAAUGGGCGCAAGCCUGACGGAGCAACGCCGCGUGAGGGAUGAAGGCCUCUGGGCUGUAAACCUCUUUUAUCAAGGAAGAAGAUCUGACGGUACUUGAUGAAUAAGCCACGGCUAAUUCCGUGCCAGCAGCCGCGGUAAUACGGGAGUGGCAAGCGUUAUCCGGAAUUAUUGGGCGUAAAGCGUCCGCAGGCGGUCUUACAAGUCUGUCGUUAAAGCGUGGAGCUUAACUCCAUUUCAGCGAUGGAAACUGUAAGACUAGAGUGUGGUAGGGGCAGAGGGAAUUCCCGGUGUAGCGGUGAAAUGCGUAGAUAUCGGGAAGAACACCAGUGGCGAAGGCGCUCUGCUGGGCCAUAACUGACGCUCAUGGACGAAAGCCAGGGGAGCGAAAGGGAUUAGAUACCCCUGUAGUC
rnacentral:rRNA from 1 species